rnacentral:rRNA from 1 species
AUUGAACGCUGGCGGCACGCCUAACACUGCAAGUCGAGCGGUAACAUGAUUUGUAGCAAUACAAAUUGAUGACGAGCGGCGGACGGGUGAGGAACACGUAGGAAUCUGCCCAGAAGCGGGGGACAACCAAGGGAAACUUUGGCUAAUACCGCGUAAUCUCGCAAGAGUAAAGCUGCCCGCAAGGGUGGCGCUUCUGGAGGAGCCUGCGUCCGAUUAGCUAGUUGGUGAGGUAAGAGCUCACCAAGGCGAUGAUCGGUAACCGGUCUGAGAGGCCGACAAGUCACACUGGGACUGAGACACGGCCCAGACUCCUACGGGAGGCAGCAGUGGGGAAUAUUGGACAAUGGGGGCAACCCUGAUCCAGCGAUGCCGCGUGGGUGAAGAAGGCCUUCGGGUUGUAAAGCCCCUUAGGUUGGGAAGAAGUGUACGGGGCGAAUAACCCCGUAUGUUGACGGUACCGACAAAAUAAGCACCGGCAAACUCUGUGCCAGCAGCCGCCGUAA